rnacentral:rRNA from 1 species
CAGUAGCCGCGGUAAUACGUAGGGUGCAAGCGUUAUCCGGAAUUAUUGGGCGUAAAGAGUGCGUAGGUGGUCUACUAAGCGCGAGGUGAAAGGCAAUGGCUCAACCAUUGUUAGCCUUGCGAACUGGCAGACUUGAGUGCAAGAGAGGAAAGCGGAAUUCCUAGUGUAGCGGUGAAAUGCGCAGAUAUUAGGAGGAACACCGGCGGCGAAGGCGGCUUUCUGGAUUGUAACUGACACUGAGGCACGAAAGCGUGGGUAGCAAACAGGAUUAGAUACCCGGGUAGUCCAUGUCUCUUAUACA